rnacentral:rRNA from 1 species
GGAGAGUUUGAUCCUGGCUCAGGACAAACGCUGGCGGGGUGCGUGAGACAUGCAAGUCGAACGGGGUUGGUCGGGCUUGCUCGACCAACCUAGUGGCGGACGGCUGAGUAGCGCGUAGGUGACCUGCCCGGAAGUGGGGAAUAACUGCCCGAAAGGGUGGCUAAUACCGCAUGUGGUCGGCGAUUCGCUUCGCCGUCUAAAGCCGCAAGGCGCUUCCGGAGGGGCCUGCGUCCGAUUAGCUAGUUGGUGGGGUAACGGCUCACCAAGGCGACGAUCGGUAGCUGGUCUGAGAGGAUGAUCAGCCAGACUGGGACUGAGAACGGCCCAGACUCCUACGGGAGGCAGCAGUCGGGAAUUUUGCCCAAUGGACGAAAGUCUGAGGCAGCAACUCCGCGUGAGGGAUGAAGGCUCUCGGGUCGUAAACCUCUUUUCUCAGGGAAGAUACAAGACGGUACCUGAGGAAUAAGCCACGGCUAACUACGUGCCAGCAGCCGCGGUAAUACGUAGGUGGCGAGCGUUGUCCGGAUUUACUGGGCGUAAAGAGCGCGCAGGCGGCUGGACAAGUCCGAUGUGAAAGCUUCCGGCUCAACCGGGAAACCGCAUCGGAAACUGUCCGGCUUGAAGGUGGGAGAGGGUAGUGGAAUUCCCGGUGUAGUGGUGAAAUGCGUAGAUAUCGGGAGGAACACCAGUGGCGAAGGCGACUACCUGGCCCACUCUUGACGCUGAGGCGCGAAAGCUAGGGGAGCGAACGGGAUUAG